CGUGUAGCGGUGAAAUGCGUAGAGAUGUGGAGGAACACCAGUGGCGAAGGCGACUCUCUGGUCUGUAACUGACGCUGAGGAGCGAAAAGCGUGGGGAGCGAACAGGAUUUAGAUACCCUGGUAGUCCACGCCGUAAACGAUGAGUGCUAAGUGUUAGGGGGUUUCCGCCCCUUAGUGCUGCAGCUAACGCAUUAAGCACUCCGCCUGGGGAGUACGGUCGCAAGACUGAAACUCAAAGGAAUUGACGGGGGCCCGCACAAGCGGUGGAGCAUGUGGUUUAAUUUGAAGCAACGCGAAGAACCUUACCAGGUCUUGACAUCCUCUGACAAUCCUAGAGAUAGGACGUCCCCUUCGGGGGCAGAGUGACAGGUGGUGCAUGGUUGUCGUCAGCUCGUGUCGUGAGAUGUUGGGUUAAGUCCCGCAACGAGCGCAACCCUUGAUCUUAGUUGCCAGCAUUCAGUUGGGCACUCUAAGGUGACUGCCGGUGACAAACCGGAGGAAGGUGGGGAUGACGUCAAAUCAUCAUGCCCCUUAUGACCUGGGCUACACACGUGCUACAAUGGACAGAACAAAGGGCAGCGAAACCGCGAGGUUAAGCCAAUCCCACAAAUCUGUUCUCAGUUCGGAUCGCAGUCUGCAACUCGACUGCGUGAAGCUGGAAUCGCUAGUAAUCGCGGAUCAGCAUGCCGCGGUGAAUACGUUCCCGGGCCUUGUACACACCG
rnacentral:rRNA from 1 species